rnacentral:siRNA from 1 species
GGGUGGAGUGGUGAUAUCCUAA